rnacentral:rRNA from 1 species
AAUAUUGGACAAUGGGGGCAACCCUGAUCCAGCCAUGCCGCGUGUGUGAAUAAGGUCUUCGUAUUGUAAAGCACUUUAAGUUGGGAGGAAGGGCUUUAUGUUUAUACCCUGAAGUUUUGACGUUACCUACAGAAUAAGCACCGGCAUACUUUGUCCCAGAAUCCGCGGUAAUACAGAGGGUGCAAGCGUAAACCGGAAUUACUGGGCGUAACGCGCGCAGAGGUGGUUCAGUAAGAUGGGUGUGAAAUCCCCGGGCUUAAACUGAGAACUGCCUUCAUAACUGCUGAGCUAGAGUACGGUAGAGGGUAGUGGAAUUUCCUGUGUAGCGGUGAAAUGCGUAGAUAUAGGAAGGAACACCAGUGGCGAAGGCGACUACCUGGACUGAUACUGACACUGAGGUGCGAAAGCGUGGGGAGCAAAC